UACGGAGGGUGCAAGCGUUAUCCGGAUUCACUGGGUUUAAAGGGUGCGUAGGUGGGCAGGUAAGUCAGUGGUGAAAUCUCCGGGCUUAACUCGGAAACUGCCAUUGAUACUAUCUGUCUUGAAUACCGUGGAGGUCAGCGGAAUAUGUCAUGUAGCGGUGAAAUGCUUAGAUAUGACCCGGAACACCGAUUGCGUAGGCAGCCCACUAAGCAACGAUUGACGCUGAGGCACGAAAGCGUGGGGAUCAAACAGG
rnacentral:rRNA from 1 species